rnacentral:rRNA from 1 species
GAACGCUGGCGGCAUGCCUAACACAUGCAAGUCGAACGAAGGCUUCGGCCUUAGUGGCGCACGGGUGCGUAACGCGUGGGAAUCUGCCCUCUGGUACGGAAUAACUCAGGGAAACUUGAGCUAAUACCGUAUAAUGACUUCGGUCCAAAGAUUUAUCGCCUGAGGAUGAGCCCGCGUCGGAUUAGCUAGUUGGUGAGGUAAAGGCUCACCAAGGCGACGAUCCGUAGCUGGUCUGAGAGGAUGAUCAGCCACACUGGGACUGAGACACGGCCCAGACUCCUACGGGAGGCAGCAGUGGGGAAUAUUGGACAAUGGGCGCAAGCCUGAUCCAGCAAUGCCGCGUGAGUGAUGAAGGCCUUAGGGUUGUAAAGCUCUUUUACCCGGGAUGAUAAUGACAGUACCGGGAGAAUAAGCCCCGGCUAACUCCGUGCCAGCAGCCGCGGUAAUACGGAGGGGGCUAGCGUUGUUCGGAAUUACUGGGCGUAAAGCGCACGUA